AUUGAACGCUGGCGGCAUGCCUUACACAUGCAAGUCGAACGGUAACAGGUCUUCGGAUGCUGACGAGUGGCGAACGGGUGAGUAAUGCAUCGGAACGUGCCCAGUAGUGGGGGAUAGCCCGGCGAAAGCCGGAUUAAUACCGCAUACGACCUGAGGGUGAAAGGGGGGGAUCGCAAGACCUCUCGCCAUUGGAGCUGCCGAUGUCAGAUUAGCUAGUUGGUGGGGUAAAGGCCUACCAAGGCAACGAUCUGUAGUUGGUCUGAGAGGACGACCAGCCACACUGGGACUGAGACACGGCCCAGACUCCUACGGGAGGCAGCAGUGGGGAAUUUUGGACAAUGGGCGCAAGCCUGAUCCAGCAAUGCCGCGUGCAGGAAGAAGGCCUUCGGGUUGUAAACUGCUUUUGUCAGGGAAGAAAUCUUCUGGGUUAAUACCUCGGGAGGAUGACGGUACCUGAAGAAUAAGCACCGGCUAACUACGUGCCAGCCGCCGCCGUAACAC
rnacentral:rRNA from 1 species